CCAAAUCUAUGGAACGCCGUUUGGGUCUUAAAGCACAUGGUCAAAACAUGAUCUUUUUAAUGCUACGUGUGUGAAGUAAACAGAUUUCACAGUUUGAAGGAACUUCCUUUUCCACUGCAAGCAGAGUUUGAACCUUUACAAGAAGGGAACCAUGAAGAGGAGCUUGGAGUGGGCAAGGGGGAUGCUGAUAAAGCAGCAGAGAAGACCUGAUUCAUCAAGUAUCAAUUAAUUCUGGUGAUUCUCACCUGGUUGGCAUGCAUGCACAACAUGACAAGGUGUACAACAUUAAGCCCAAUCAAAUAUCCAAUGUUAUUCAAACAUGUAUCCCAAUUUACAGUCAAGCAACGUUUGUCAGCUGUGUUAAUGUUAUGAACUACAAACAAUCUAUGGUUCUUGGAGUCAAUGAAUCAAUUGAAAGGGACUACAAUUAGACAUUUUUAAACUGUGCCAGUAAAGAUGACAAAGUCAUCUGCUCUUAUGGUUAUGUUUACGUUUUUUCCAGACACUUCAAUCUGACACUCUUGUUAAUGUUUGACGUCAGGCAAAACAUCUUCAGCCACUGUAGGACGGAGAGCCGCUGGUUGGCAUUUGACUGCAGUGUCUGUGGGUGUACCAGGAAAGGACGUUAGAAGUUAGGUCCCUAUGAUAUCAAUGCUUCUUACCAUCUCCACUGCAGCCCAGUCGAUAUCAAUUUAAAAAAACUGGAACAAUAGAUAGUGUAGCACAAUGUACAACUCCAGUUUGCCUAUUGUCCCAACAAAUGUCAAUUAUACAUUUUUACAUACGUCAGAGUGCAUUUUAUUUUAUAGCUCUGCUUUCAACGCCAUCCUGACCCACAAACUGGUUUGCAGACUCAGGGCUCUGGGUGUAAAUCCUGUAAUAACAAAUUUCGAUUUUUUACAUUAUCAUAAGAAUGUGUAUCCCCAGAAUUGACGUGACACUACCAUGGUACACAUGAGUACAUGAAGGAGCUGUGGGACCCAACACUACCAUGGUACACAUGAGUACAUGAAGCAGCUCUGGGACCUGACACUACCAUGGUACACAUGAGUACAUGAAGGAGCUGUGGGACCCGACACUACCAUGGUACACAUGAGUACAUGAAGGAGCUGUGGGACCCGACACUACCAUGGUACACAUGAGUACAUGAAGGAGCUGUGGGACCUGACAUAAUGAUGAUAGGACAACAGUCUCAGCGUAAACAAAACAAAGUACAUGGUGAUACUUGACCAUUCUCCCAUCUACUGUACAUUGACAUGGAGAUGAUCAGCAGCUUCAAGUUCCUGGGCACCCUGAUAUCCUUUUCUGCCUUCAGUUACUUCACUCAAAGUCCCACUUGUGCUUCUCCACUACCCUCAAACUUGCUCCACCACGACCUAUGUACCAACUACAGUGUCUUUUAUUGCCAUUACACAUGUAAAUGAAAUGUACAUAUUUACGGUAGGAUUUAUUUAUGGUAACAUUGCACAUAUUGUAACAGUCCCUUGACAUACAUGACUUAACUAUGCAUAAUGCUCAGUUUACCCACUAAGAAAUCAUACAUUUAUUAAAUCUGCAUUAUUUAUUACUGUGUCCAAUUGAUUCUGGUUGGUUGUAAUGUUUUUGAAAACUUUCACUGCACAACUUUUUUUGCUGAUGGACAAUCCGGUCGGAAACUUUAAUAAUAUCAAUUCUUUUGGGACACAUCACCAAUUAACAUUGGCUGCAGUAUUCCGAACUUACUAGGUAGUCAUGCAAUAAACGUUUUGGAUAAUUCCCC
rnacentral:lncRNA from 1 species